ensembl:lncRNA
GGACUCCAGGUGAGACAGGGCCCAGCAACAGAGGAACAUGUUGUUACAAACGAAAGUGAAAGUGUUAAACUGAGGGGGAGGAGUGUUCAGACGGAAGUAACAGAGACAGCAGUAGAAAAUUCUGUCCCGUAAGUAAGCAUCUUGAAAUGUUUUGAAUAAUCCCUGAGAGGCUGUGAACUGCUGGUUUUCAACUAUGCGUCGGGAUAUUACGUAUCAUAGAGUUCCAAGAGAAAUGACUAAACAAGUAUCUGAUCACAUCAAUCUUCAGCAUCCUAAAAAACCCACUUUCAUUCUCUUGUUUGUAACUGUACAGGUGAAAUUCACAGUCACGGUUACAGUUGUUGCUAAAGUGCUGAAUGGAUAAGAAACAAAAAGAGCUCAGAGGUUUCAUCAUCACGUUUGACAAAAGCAAAAAGUUUCAACUGUUACAUUAUCACCACAUUAAACUGUCUUUGAAGGCCUCACAGACAUCAUGUAAAUCUAAUCUAUGCUAGAGCCAGUUAUUGUCACAGUUGUAUGGAGGACCCACCCAUCUUUUAUUUGAAUAAAGAAAAUGUUAACUACACUUCACUUUCCUACAUGUUGUUCUCAGAUUGAGUCUCAGAUCAGUUUCUCACAGCUUCUCCUUCUCCACACUGACACAGUUCCUCGUUAGAUCUGCGCACUUCCUGUGUUAAUGGUUAAAGGAAGUCCCCAAAACAAAAGUGAAAGUGAAACAUUAUUUCUCUUGUAGGUUUGUUACGGACCUGUCCACAGACAGCAGCUGGUAUUUAUCAGGUAAGAGGCUUGAAAUGUUGGAAACCAUCGAGCUGCGAAGCUGAAUCUCUGCUGUACAUCAGAGUUUGAUCGAUUAUCAAUUGAUGUUUUAUUUUACUGGGACUCUUUGUUUGGGGGGUGUUGGUUGCAGCAUGAAGAGCUUCCUGCAACAAAGACAUCAAGAUAGUGGGAAGGUUUAUUGCUGUGUUAAAAACCCUGUGUGUAGCCGUUUUCACAAUUUAAGGACAUUUUUAAAUGUGCUGCACUGACUCACUGUAACCCUUUUAAUUCAACAGUGACUCGUCAGUAUCAUUUAACAAAUGUCUUUUGUUCGUUUGUGUACUUGCUCUUGUGAAUAAAGGCUUUUAUUUUGAAAGGCAGCGUUUUCUGCCUGGUAACUUUAUACCCACAUUUAUUACACUAACAUGUAAUAAGAUGCAUGUUCAAACUCAUCCCUCGUUUUGCUUAAGUAAUUAAAUUAGCUAAUUAAGUCCAGUUGCCAUGACUCAACUUCCAGAUGUGGACUGAUCGUUUGUCUCUGUGUUUUUGUCUCAUCCUCAGAGAAAAUGACUCAGGAACAAGCAGCGGGUAAGAAAACAAGUUGACUUUUUGGUCUGAAUAUAAAAAUCUUGGAAUAAAUGUUUACUAAAAAGCAGAAUUUUAGGAUUCACAGCUUGUCGCUGUAAGGAUUAUGGUUUUUGGUAACAUGACAAAUCACAACUGAAACUAGAACAUCACAAAACAAGAGUCACAACAGGAAAUCACUGCCAAAAGGAGAUUAACUCUAAUCAACAGAAGAAAAGAGAGAGAGAAACAGUUCCUGUGAUAGUUUUCAUGAACAUGUAGUGAGGAGCACUUGCUAGUUGUGGAUCUCUGCAUUUGUUCAUUUAUAUUUUGAACACUUCUACUGACCUAAAAACAAAAACUACCAUCAACAAUUUGACAGAGGUUAUGAUGAUGUUACUACUGAAUACAGAAACGUGUUGACUUUUAUUGUGACAAGACUUUAAUAUUCUCUGUACAUCCACAGCUUCAUGGAACAAGUUCUUUGUCUUCUUGGCGGGAAACACUAACGGGGCUCAUCAUGACCUUGUUGAAAAGCUUAAAGGAGUUGGUCACACUGAGGUGAACUCUCCUGAAGAAUGUGACUAUGUCCUGGUUUUUUGUCCUGUCGCUACAGUGGUUGGAAUAGACGUCAGAGAGGCUCUGGCUAAAACUCCUGGUAAGUACUGCUGUUGUCCAAUGUUUGACCAAUUUGACACAAUUGUUCAGAGAUAUGACGAGAAAGUUCACAAACCAGUGUUAAAGUUGGUAUCAAAGUUUACGUAAUGAUUGAUUUUGUACGUUUUCUACUAGUAAAUCACUGCACAAGAAGAGAAAUGGACCCAGCAUAAUUUACAACUUCUUAUUAGACAUGUUUUUAAUUUAAAGCAGCUGUAACCUGUGGUGAGAGAGAGUGGUGUGACAAUAGUUAGCAGACUGUGGCUACGGUUAUUUUUUUUACACUCCUCUUCCACUUUCUCUUAUUGAAUGAAUACAGAUUAACGCCACCUGAAAGCCACAGAAAGGUGGUGAACUUUGUGUUUACAAUAUCAAUAAUACAAAAUGGACAGGAAUCUCACAGAGAAUGGUUGGUAACAGGCAGCUAAAUCACACAAAAAGGCAAAGUCUAAAUAGAAAAGUAGGACGUAAACAAGAAGCAGAAAAACACAACUGAGUAAGAGAGACUGAGAAUGAAGGGAAGGUGAGAGGGCAUCUGGUGGCUGGAUUGAGAAUAGCAGGUCACAGGAAGAGAAGCCAGAAUAAACAAGACUGAGACAAAAAGCUUAGAUAAGGCCUAAAGAAACAGUAAAAAUAAAAUUCUGAUCUCGUUU